rnacentral:lncRNA from 1 species
UUGUCAGGAUAUACUACUGGAAAACAUGUGGAAAAUAUUGCUACAUACAUACAAAGGAAGAAUUAUCAUGACAAAUUACUCAGUAUGGGAUGCUUGUUAUACAAAUUAGAUGAGAGCACAGAUGUUUCUCACGUCUCAGCUAACGGGGGUCAUCCAAAGCGAAGUGGGUAUACUUGAAUGCCACAGUAGUAUCUGGAAGAAGAAACACACUGUAUUUCCAAGAGUCUGUAGAAGGAAGAGUUUGAAAGUGUGAUGAAAUGAUAUCUUUACUUUUUCUUAUUUUAGAAUUCUCAGUCGGUGUGCAUAAUAUACUACCAUUUGUAAAAAGAAAAAAAUGUGUGAUGUAUAUACUUAUAUAUGCACAUAACACACAGGAAACUAUUAAGAGGGGUUGCCUUUGGUGAGGGGGCCUGGGAAUACAUAGGUGUGGAGAGAGACAUUUCUCACUGUAUAUCAGUAAUUCUCAACCAUUUUAGUCUUAGGAUUCCUUUAACUCUUAAAAAUUAUUGGAGUUACCAAACAGUUUUUGUUUAUGUCAGUAAUAUGUCUAUCAAUAUUGACUGUAUUAGAAAUUAAAACAGAGAUCUUAAAAAUACUUAUUUAUUAAUUCAUUAAAAAAUAACAAUAAUACACCCAUUAUAUAUUGACACAAAUAUAUUUUUCAAUGAGAAAACCCCUAUAUUUUCUAAAACAAAGUUCAGUGAGAAGAAUGGCAUUGUUUGACAUUUUUUGCAUAUCUCUUUAAUAUCUGGCUUAAUGGAGACAGCUGGAUUCUCAUAUUUGCCACUGUAUUCAGUCUGUUGUGAUGUCACAUGUCAUGGAGCCUCUGGAGAACACCACUGUACACUUACAAGAGAAUCAG